GGGCGUGUAGCUCAAUGGCAGAGCAUCGCGUUUACAUCGCGGGGGUUAUAGGUUCAAAUCCUGUCACGCCCA
rnacentral:tRNA from 1 species